rnacentral:rRNA from 1 species
UACGGGGGGGGUAAGCGUUGUUCGGAAUUACUGGGCGUAAAGGGCUCGUAGGCGGCCAACUAAGUCGGAUGUGAAAGCCCAGGGCUCAACCCUGGAAGUGCACUCGAUACUGCGAGGCUAGAGUCCCGGAGAGGAUGGUGGAACUCUCGGUGUAGAGGUGAAAUUCGUAGAUAUCGAGAAGAACACCGGUGGCGAAGGCGGCCAUCUGGACGGUGACUGACGCUGAGACGCGAAAGCGUGGGGAGCAAACAGG